GUGAACGCUGGCGGUAGGCCUAACACAUGCAAGUCGAACGGCAGCACAGUAAGAGCUUGCUCUUACGGGUGGCGAGUGGCGGACGGGUGAGGAAUACAUCGGAAUCUACUUUUUCGUGGGGGAUAACGUAGGGAAACUUACGCUAAUACCGCAUACGACCUACGGGUGAAAGCAGGGGAUCUUCGGACCUUGCGCGAUUGAAUGAGCCGAUGUCGGAUUAGCUAGUUGGCGGGGUAAAGGCCCACCAAGGCGACGAUCCGUAGCUGGUCUGAGAGGAUGAUCAGCCACACUGGAACUGAGACACGGUCCAGACUCCUACGGGAGGCAGCAGUGGGGAAUAUUGGACAAUGGGCGCAAGCCUGAUCCAGCCAUACCGCGUGGGUGAAGAAGGCCUUCGGGUUGUAAAGCCCUUUUGUUGGGAAAGAAAAGCAGCAGGUUAAUACCCCGCUGUUCUGACGGUACCCAAAGAAUAAGCACCGGCGAACUUCGU
rnacentral:rRNA from 1 species